rnacentral:rRNA from 1 species
GACGAACGCUGGCGGCGUGCCUAAUACAUGCAAGUCGAGCGGACAGAAGGGAGCUUGCUCCCGGAAGUUAGCAGCGGACGGGUGAGUAACACGUGGGCAACCUACCCUGUAGAUCGGGAUAACAUCGAGAAAUCGGUGCUAAUACCGGAUACUCAUUUGAAGUGCAUGCUUCGAAUGUAAAAGAUGGCUCCGGCUAUCACCACGGGAUGGGCCCGCGGCGCAUUAGCUGGUUGGUAAGGUAAUGGCUUACCAAGGCAACGAUGCGUAGCCGACCUGAGAGGGUGAUCGGCCACACUGGGACUGAGACACGGCCCAGACUCCUACGGGAGGCAGCAGUAGGGAAUCUUCCGCAAUGGACGAAAGUCUGACGGAGCAACGCCGCGUGAGUGAUGAAGGUUUUCGGAUCGUAAAGCUCUGUUGUUAGGGAAGAACAAGUGCCGUUUGAAUAAGGCGGCACCUUGACGGUACCUAACCAGAAAGCCACGGCUAACUACGUGCCAGCCGCCGCCGUAAGAC